rnacentral:rRNA from 1 species
UACGGAGGGUGCGAGCGUUGUCCGGAAUCACUGGGCGUAAAGGGCGCGUAGGCGGCAUGCCAAGCGUGUGGUGAAAGCCCGGGGCUCAACCCCGGGUCGGCCGUGCGGACUGGCGUGCUCGAGCACUGUAGGGGCGGGUGGAAUUCCGGGUGUAGCGGUGGAAUGCGUAGAGAUCCGGAAGAACACCGGUGGCGAAGGCGGCAUCCUGGACCAACACUGACACUGAUGAGCGAAAGCCAGGGGAGCAAACGGG